AUUGAGCAUUGUAUUCAUACACAAUGCACGAACACCACAAAAAAGACAUAAUAUCGCAAAUUCGGUGCCUCGAUCUUCGUGAUUCCACAAAAUAAUUCCCUUUCUCCAGACAUCACUCCUCCAAGUUUCUUUGCUACUGUCCCACUUUACUCUGAAACUAUUUGAAAAAAAUACUCUAAUUUUACCAGCACUUUUAUUAUGCACUGCUUUUAGUAUGAUAACUUUGACUAUUUUUUAGUAAAGAGAAUCUCUAGGCUAAAAAAAAAAGUUUCUUCUUUUCUCACUAAAAUUUUCACCCCAAAUUUUCUCAAAUCAAAGAAAACAGAGGAAAUUAUGGGUUCAUCUGGCAAAAAUGAGCAUAGUUUUCUCUAUGUUGUAGCUAGCAACUUUGAUGUUCUUGCUGGGCCAUUAGUUGCUCUUGUUUAUCCUCUAUAUGCUUCAAUCAAAGCCAUAGAAAGUGGUUCAAGAUCAGAUGAUCAACAAUGGCUUACUUAUUGGGUAUUAUAUUCCUUAAUCACCAUCUUUGAACUCUCAUUUGCCAAAGUCCUUGAAUGGUUUCCGAUAUGGAGUUAUGCAAAGCUUUUCUUCACAUGCUGGUUGGUGCUGCCUCAAUUCAAUGGAGCAACUUAUGUUUAUAGACAUUUUAUUAGACCUUUCUAUAUGAACCCACAAAUGACCACUUCCACCAUGUGGUAUAUACCUAAGAAGAACUUAUUCAGCAAACAAGAUGAUAUUUUAUAUGCUGCAGAGAAGUACAUUGAACAAAAUGGAACUGAGGCAUUUGAGAGGAUCAUUAAGAAGGCUGAUAGAGAAGCAAAAGCAAGGAGGAAACACUACAUGAUUUUUGAAGAGGAUCACAAAAUUCAUAAUAAAUAUAAUGGAUAUUACUGAUCUCUUUAAUAUAGGCUAGCUCUCUCAUGAGUUAAUUCGACGGCCAGUUGAGCCAGACUCUAUUUGUAGCUACUGGCUAGAUCCCCUUGCCAUGGAAACCAAUUUAUUGUGAUCUUUAGGGGCGAGGUGUUCAGAAUAAUAUGAAACUGAAUAAUGUAUGGACAUUGCUUCAUGUCAGCCCUUCCCUCAAAAUUGCCUCGGUCACGUUCCUCAAUGUGUUCGUAUUCAUUAAACUCUCUUGGCCAAGCAUUAGACAAUAUGCAAUAGUUGGGAGUUCUCUUUCCUCUCACUAGUUGAUUCAAGUUUACAAAGUUAACUAUAAUAUCUUAAUGAUAAUAUUUACAUACAUCUUUCCCAGUGGAGAUACACUUCUAUAUUAUCAAAGCAGGAGAGCAACUAACAUUGGUCCGUCAAUUUACCUAUUUUCUAAUUUUAUCAGAUUUUUUUUAUUUUUUUUAUUUAUUAUUUAUUUUUAUUUUUUUAGUGUAUGCAGUAUGCUAUGUUUUUUUGGGGGUAUUUUGCUACUACACCAGUGAGUUGAUAGCAGCAAAGAAAUAAAUUCUUGCAUAAUGGAAAUGAAGGCAAGAACAGCCGCCAUAGUUGGACUAGCAUUUGAUAUUUUGAUGUACACGAUGCGUUAAACAUUUGAAAAAUUUAUACUCGUAGCUAACAUUAUAACCAAGUAAAAUGAUAAGCAGUUUGGUAUGCGAUACGGAUCGAAUCCGAAAGUAAUUUGAGCUAAAGCUAGGGUGAAUCGAAUGGGCUUCCUUAAAAAAAAUAACCAAGUAAUACGAUGACUAUAAAGUUUCCUAACUAUUUAGUAUAGAGUGAAAAAACUGACAAAAUAUUGUUAUGGACAUUUUAUUGAAACAAAAUCUUCA